rnacentral:rRNA from 1 species
UAAGACGUAGGUGGCGAGCGUUACUCGGAAUUACUAGGCGUAAAGCGUACGUAGGCGGAAGUUUAAGUCUGUUGUGUAAUCUCCAAGCUCAACUUGGAAACUGCAACAGAAACUGGGCUUCUUGAGUGAGGCAGAGGAAAACGGAAUUCCUGGUGUAGCAGUGAAAUGCGUAGAUAUCAGGAGGAACACCGGUGGCGAAGGCGGUUUUCUGGGCCUUUACUGACGCUAAAGUACGAAAGCUAGGGGAGCAAACGGGAUUAGAUACCCCGGUAGUCCUAGCCGUAAACGAUGAUAACUAGGUGUGGGAGGUAUCGACCCCUUCCGUGCCGACGCUAACGCAUUAAGUUAUCCGCCUGGGGAGUACGGCCGCAAGGUUAAAACUCAAAGGAAUUGACGG